UGUAUGAGGGACACACAACCGUAUAUUUGUGUGUACUAUUGAGGAUUUAGAUACAGUAUUAUAAGCAUAUGCAUGCAUAAAUAAUUUAUUCCCUUGAUCUUCUGUGCUUCUGUCUGUUACUCGCACCAUUUUGGUAAUAACAGUUUUUCUUUAAAAGUUUUGUCAUUACUAUCCCAAUAUGAGACGCGGCCUGAGCAUAUCAGAAAUUCUCAAAAACCGAGAGCAGACUAAAAAACUUCAGGAAAAGGGUUUAGAAAUUCAGAAGAUAAAUAUUGAAAAGAUGAAAGAAUAUUUACAAAAUUUCAGGGCAAACCUCGAAACUUUCGCAAUAAAAUAUAGGGAGAGUAUUAGCAAGGAUCCAGCGUUACGGCAGUAUUUUAAUGAGCUAUGUAAUAAGAUCGGUGCCGAUCCUCUUGUUUCAAAUCGCAGCUUUUGGGCAGAAUUUUUAGGCAUUGGUGAUUUUUAUUAUAAACUUGCGAUUCAAGUUAUUCAAAUAUGUAUUUUAAAACGCUCGGUAAGUGGUGGGUUGAUAGAGGUCAAUGAGGUGCUCAGACAUCUCAGGAAGAAGCCAAAAUUCAAGCAACAGCGUCUCAGUGAAGACGAUAUUGAACGGGCUAUUAGAAAGGUUAAAGUUUUGAAUGGUGGAUUUGAGCUUGUUUUAAUUGGCUCUCGUAAGAUGAUUCAAUCUGUUCCUUAUGAAUUUAGUAGCGAUCAUAAAUCAGUGCUUCUUAUUUCUCAAGAAAAAUAUUAUGUUACUUUGUCUUUGAUCCGAGAAAGGCUAUUUUGGGAUAAUCUAAGAUCUGAGCACGUACUGAACUCUAUGCUACAAGAAGGGCUCAUUUGGAUUGACCAGGUAGAGGGUCAGGAAUUACAGUAUUGGUUCACUAGCCUUUUUAUAAGUGAUUACAAAAACA